CCUACGGGUGGCAGCAGUGAGGAAUAUUGGUCAAUGGUCGGGAGACUGAACCAGCCAAGCAGCGUGAGGGAGGAAGGCACAGAGUAUCGUAAACCUCUUUUGUCAGGGAACAAAGGCGGGGACGUGUCCCCGGAUGCGUGUACCUGAAGAAAAAGCAUCGGCUAAUUCCGUGCCAGCAGCCGCGGUAAUACGGAGGAUCCGAGCGUUAUCCGGAUUUAUUGGGUUUAAAGGGUGCGUAGGCGGUCUUUUAAGUCAGCGGUAAAAGCCUGGGGCUCAACCCGGGCCCGCCGUUGAAACUGGGAGUCUCGAGUUGGAGAGAGGUAGGCGGAAUUCGCGGUGUAGCGGUGAAAUGCAUAGAUAUCGCGCAGAACUCCGAUUGCGAAGGCAGCAUGCCGGCUCCACACUGACGCUGAGGCACGAAAGCGUGGGUAUCGAACAGGAUUAGAUACCCUUGUAGUC
rnacentral:rRNA from 1 species